rnacentral:rRNA from 1 species
GACGAACGCUGGCGGCGUGCUUAACACAUGCAAGUCGAACGGAAAGGCCCUGCUUUUGUGGGGUGCUCGAGUGGCGAACGGGUGAGUAACACGUGAGUAACCUGCCCUUGACUUUGGGAUAACUUCAGGAAACUGGGGCUAAUACCGGAUAGGAGCUCCUGCUGCAUGGUGGGGGUUGGAAAGUUUCGGCGGAUGGGGAUGGACUCAGGGGUGAUCAGCUUGUUGGUGGGGUAGUGGCUUACCAAGGCGUUGACGGGUGGCCGGCCUGAGAGGAUGAUCAGUGACACUGGAAGUGAGACAGGGGCAAGAGGCCUACGGGAGGCAGCAGUGGGGAAGAUUGGACAGUGGGCGGAAGCCUGAUCCAGCCGUGCGGCGUGUGUGGAGAAGGUCUUCGGAUUGGAAAGCAGUUUAAGUGGGGGGGAAGGGCAGUAAGUUGAUACGUUGCUGUUUUGACGUUACCGACAGAAUAAGCACCGGCUAACUUCGUG